CUCGACUCUAUUCUGGAACAAUGAAGAGACUCAAGAAGUACAUAACAAGCGGGAGGCUCCCAGCUCUGAGUGCACACACCCUAAUUACCACAUCCCCGCCUUAAAAGGGUGGGGAUGGGGCAGCCUUGUGGGCCACCUGUGAAAUACCAAUACUCUCACUGUUUUUUCCACAGGCCAAAGGGGCUCUUGCUUCUGGCUCUAAGCACCCAGUCACACUAGCCAGACACAACCCACUGCAGGGACACUGAUCAUCAGGGAGCUGAACUGGUAUUGCACACCUGUGAAAUGGUAAUGCAGGUGUCCUAAGUAAAGCUCAGGGAGGACAGAAACCACUGAUGGAGCAGAAGAGCAAAAGCUCACUUAAUCUGGAUUUUCAGUGUGAAUACAGACUACAAAAGUGGGGACACACACGCACACAUAAUAAAAAAUUCACGGGAGAAGAG
rnacentral:ncRNA from 1 species